CACGUAGGUGGCAAGCGUUGUCCGGAAUUACUGGGUGUAAAGGGAGCGCAGGCGGGGAGGCAAGUCAGCUGUGAAAACCAUGGGCUUAACCCAUGGAUUGCAGUUGAAACUGUCUUUCUUGAGUGGAGUAGAGGUAGGCGGAAUUCCGAGUGUAGCGGUGAAAUGCGUAGAUAUUCGGAGGAACACCAGUGGCGAAGGCGGCCUACUGGGCUCUAACUGACGCUGAGGCUCGAAAGGGUGGGGAGCAAACAGGAUUAGAUACCCUGGAAGUCCACACUGUAAACGAUGAUUGCUAGGUGUGGGGGGUCUGACCCCUUCCGUGCCGGAGUUAACGCAAUAAGCAAUCCACCUGGGGAGUACGGCCGCAAGGUUGAA
rnacentral:rRNA from 1 species